rnacentral:rRNA from 1 species
AUGUCGGGGGCACAGGGGGCGCACCCGGUCGGGGAGACGACGCCGACGACGUACGGGUCGGUGGGCGGCGGGGAGAACCGCACGCGCACGGACCUGCGGUCGCGGGAGGACCAGGGCAACAUCCAGAUCGAGAAGGUGCAGGACAAGGUGGAGGACGCCGCGUCGCGCAAGAUCGACGACAGCGCCUUCGCUGCCAGGAAGGAGCCGGGCCAGGCCGGCGACGCCGGGGCGACCGGCACCGGCGCGUGA